rnacentral:rRNA from 1 species
GAUGAACGCUGGCGGCGUGCCUAAUACAUGCAAGUCGAGCGAAUGGAUUAAGAGCUUGCUCUUAUGAAGUUAGCGGCGGACGGGUGAGUAACACGUGGGUAACCUGCCCAUAAGACUGGGAUAACUCCGGGAAACCGGGGCUAAUACCGGAUAACAUUUUGAACCGCAUGGUUCGAAAUUGAAAGGCGGCUUCGGCUGUCACUUAUGGAUGGACCUGCGUCGCAUUAGCUAGUUGGUGAGGUAACGGCUCACCAAGGCAACGAUGCGUAGCCGACCUGAGAGGGUGAUCGGCCACACUGGGACUGAGACACGGCCCAGACUCCUACGGGAGGCAGCAGUAGGGAAUCUUCCGCAAUGGACGAAAGUCUGACGGAGCAACGCCGCGUGAGUGAUGAAGGCUUUCGGGUCGUAAAACCCUGUUGUUAGGGAAGAACAAGUGCUAGUUGAAUAAGCUGGCACCUUGACGGUACCUAACCAGAAAGCCACGGCUAACUACGUGCCAGCCACCGCGGUAA